AACUCUCAACCCCCCUAUUUUGUAAUGAGAUGGGUGUGGGCUUGGAUUAUGGUUGUUGUCGGCGUAAUUGCCGGCUCAACUGAAAUACACGAGCAACCCCUUUGAAAUAGACGGUUUGACUCGGCGUAAUAAUUAUUUCGCUGAGGACGUCUUCUUCAAAAGUAAGCGGUGCUUCUAAUGCGCUUUUAAAGCAUCUUAAGC
rnacentral:misc_RNA from 1 species